rnacentral:rRNA from 1 species
UACGUAGGUGGCAAGCGUUGUCCGGAUUUACUGGGCGUAAAGAGCGCGCAGGCGGUCGUGCAAGUCGCGUGUGAAAGCCCCCGGCUCAACUGGGGAGGGUCACGCGAUACUGCUCGACUCGAAGGCAGGAGAGGGAAGUGGAAUUCCCGGUGUAGUGGUGAAAUGCGUAGAUAUCGGGAGGAACACCAGUGGCGAAGGCGACUUCCUGGCCUGUUCUUGACGCUGAGGAGCGAAAGCCAGGGGAGCAAACGGG